GGGCACCUGCGGACGCAUGUCGAGGGGCCUUUCACAUAGCCCCGGACACUUUCCGGGGCGCUAGCUAACGGAAGACAGAAA
rfam:Ponticoccus sp. TMTAT08 contig000002, whole genome shotgun sequence.